UAGAAUUUUUUCUUUUUCGUUAAAAUAUAUUCAUCUUAUUAUUUAACCUUUAUCUUAUUGAAGUAAUGCUGAUGAUGGAGAUGGAGGAUAUUGAAAUUGAGCGAAAUGAGAUGAUGGACCUAUAACUGAUAAUAUUGGACA